AACGAACGCUGGCGGCAGGCUUAACACAUGCAAGUCGAACGCCCCGCAAGGGGCGUGGCAGACGGGUGAGUAACGCGUGGGAACAUACCCUUUUCUACGGAAUAGCUCUGGGAAACUGGAAUUAAUACCGUAUACGCCCUACGGGGGAAAGAUUUAUCGGGGAAGGAUUGGGCCGCGUUGGAUUAGCUGGUUGGUGGGGUAAAGGCCUACCAAGGCGACGAUCCAUAGCUGGUCUGAGAGGAUGAUCAGCCACAUUGGGACUGAGACACGGCCCAAACGCCUACGGGAGGCAGCAGUGGGGAAUAUUGGAAAGUGGGCGCAAGCCUGAUCCAGCCAUGCCGCGUGAGUGAUGAAGGCCUUAGGGUCGUCAAGCUCUUUCACCGAUGAAGAUAAUGACGGUAGUCGGAGAAGAAGCCCCGGCUAACUUCGUG
rnacentral:rRNA from 1 species